rnacentral:rRNA from 1 species
ACCCUACGGGAGGCAGCAGUGGGGAAUAUUGGACAAUGGGCGCAAGCCUGAUCCAGCCAUGCCGCGUGAGUGAUGAAGGCCCUAGGGUUGUAAAGCUCUUUCACCGGUGAAGAUAAUGGCGGUAACCGGAGAAGAAGCCCCGGCUAACUUCGUGCCAGCAGCCGCGGUAAU